UACGGGGGGGGCAAGCGUUGUUCGGAAUUACUGGGCGUAAAGGGCGCGUAGGCGGUUUGCUAAGUUGGAUGUGAAAACUCUGGGCUUAACCCAGAGCCUGCAUCCAAAACUGGCUGACUUGAGUACUGGAGGGGAAAGCGGAAUUCCUGGUGUAGCGGUGAAAUGCGUAGAUAUUAGGAAGAACACCGGUGGCGAAGGCGGCUCUCUGGAACGGUACUGACGCUGAGACGCGAAAGCGUGGGGAGCGAACAGG
rnacentral:rRNA from 1 species